ACUUCCGCCCUCCACUGGGGAUGGAGGGCGGGGCAUGUCAGAGUCGAACUGACUAAAACCUCCUGUCGCUCAACAACCAACGUCCAAACCUCGCAUGAGACAGAACUCAUGAAGAGGCAGAGGGGAGAAAGUGAAGCGUUUAGUGCGGAGCACAUCUCUCCCAUCACCCUCUCCCUCGGGAAGCCGGAUCGGCGGUCGUCGGCGUCACGACCACCAGCCCUCUCGGUGUAAUAGAAAGAAACGCGUGUUGAAACUUGUGUUGCCUUCAUUGAAUCGAAGGACGGAAAAAGAAGGAAAUCGAUACAGAAAUGCAGGAAUAUUGGAUCGAAUUGCGACAUGUGUUGAAAAGUGGAUUCUUUACGAUAACCUCGUCCACUGCUGGCCAUAAGCCCCCCCAAGUCUCAUCACAAAGACCGGUCCUGCGCUGCCUGCAUCCAGCUGAUUCCCGCGAAGCUCAAUAGGUCAUCGGUCCAUCUUGUGGGAGGCCUACCCACGCUAUGUCUUCCAGUACGGGGUCGCCACUCAAGAGCUUUUCGGUCCCAAUGGCCAUCAACCAUCGUGUGUUUGGCGAUGAGUUAUAAAAUACGACAAAUUAAAGGAAAAAUCUCAGAAGUCUUAGCAUGGGUAUGUUAUGUUAUACACCAAUUUAAAGAAGUUAAAGAUGAAUGUUAAUAAAACAAAAUAUAAUAA